AUACGGAGGGUGCAAGCGUUAAUCGGAAUUACUGGGCGUAAAGCGCGCGUAGGCGGUUCGGUAAGUCGGAUGUGAAAGCCCUAGGCUUAACCAAGGAAGUGCAUUCGAAACUGCCAAACUAGAGUAUGGGAGAGGGUUGCGGAAUUCUCGGUGAAGAGGUGAAAUUCGUAGAUAUCGGGAGGAACACCAGUGGCGAAGGCGGCAACCUGGACCAAUACUGACGCUGAGGUGCGAAAGCGUGGGGAGCAAACAGGAUUAGAAACCCCGGUAGUCC
rnacentral:rRNA from 1 species